GUGGUGAAAUCCUACAGCUUAACUGUAGAACUGCCAUUGAAACUGUCGUUCUUGAGUACAGUUGAGGUGGGUGGAAUGUGUCAUGUAGCGGUGAAAUGCAUAGAUAUGACACAGAACACCGAUAGCGAAGGCAGCCCACCAAACUGUAACUGACGCUCAGGCACGAAAGCGUGGGGAGCAAACAGGAUUAGAUACCCUGGUAGUCCACGCUGUAAACGAUGAUCACUCGAUGUUGGCAAUACACCGUCAGCGUCUUAGCGAAAGCUUUAAGUGAUCCACCUGGGGAGUACGAUCGCAAGGUUGAAACUCAAAGGAAUUGACGGGGGCCCGCACAAGCGGAGGAGCAUGUGGUUUAAUUCGAUGAUACGCGAGGAACCUUACCUGGGCUUAAAUGUAGAAUGACAUCCCGAGAAAUCGGGCUUUCCUUCGGGACAUUUUACAAGGUGCUGCAUGGUUGUCGUCAGCUCGUGCCGUGAGGUGUCGGGUUAAGUCCCAUAACGAGCGCAACCCCUAUUCUUAGUUACCAUCAGAUAAUGCUGGGGACUCUAAGGAAACUGCCUACGCAAGUAGUGAGGAAGGUGGGGAUGACGUCAAAUCAGCACGGCCCUUAUGUCCAGGGCUACACACGUGCUACAAUGGUCGGUACAGAGGGUCGCUACCUGGUGACAGGAUGCUAAUCUCGAAAACCGGUCUCAGUCCGGAUCGAAGUCUGCAACUCGACUUCGUGAAGUUGGAUUCGCUAGUAAUCGCAUAUCAGCAAUGGUGCGGUGAAUACGUUCCCGGGCCUUGUACACACCGCCCGUCAAGCCAUGGAAGCUGGGGGUACCUGAAGUCCGUGACCGCAAGGAGCGGCCUAAGGUAAAACUAGUGACUGGGGCUAAGUCGUAACAAGGUAGCCGUACCGGAAGGUGUGGCUG
rnacentral:rRNA from 1 species